rnacentral:rRNA from 1 species
GGGCCCGCACAAGCGGUGGAGCAUGUGGUUUAAUUCGAUGAUACGCGAGGAACCUUACCAGGGCUUAAAUGUAGUCUGACAGGGGUGGAAACACCCCCUCCUUCGGGCAGAUUACAAGGUGCUGCAUGGUUGUCGUCAGCUCGUGCCGUGAGGUGUCAGGUUAAGUCCUAUAACGAGCGCAACCCCUAUCGUUAGUUGCCAUCAAGUAAAGUUGGGAACUCUAGCGAAACUGCCGGUGCAAACCGUGAGGAAGGUGGGGAUGACGUCAAAUCAUCACGGCCCUUACGUCCUGGGCCACACACGUGCUACAAUGGCCGGUACAGAGGGCAGCCACACCGCAAGGUGGAGCGAAUCCUUAAAAACCGGUCUCAGUUCGGAUCGGGGUCUGCAACUCGGCCCCGUG